rnacentral:rRNA from 1 species
UACGUAGGUGGCAAGCGUUGUCCGGAUUUAUUGGGCGUAAAGAGCGCGCAGGCGGUUCGCAUAGUCCGAGGUGAAAUCUCCCGGCUCAACUGGGAGGGGUCUUCGGAUACUGGCGGGCUUGAGGAGAGCAGAGGUGAGCGGAAUCCUCGGUGUAGUGGUGAAAUGCGUAGAUAUCGAGGGGAACACCAGCGGCGAAGGCGGCUCACUGGGCUCCACCUGACGCUGAGGCGCGAAAGCGUGGGGAGCGAAC